rnacentral:tmRNA from 1 species
CCUCUUUUCAAGCCCGUGGAAGCCGCCUAUAUAAGGUGUGUCGGCUUGACCGACUAUGGUGAUAAAUGGACUGCGUAAUAAACCCAUUGGACCCGGGGGCGGUACCCGGCGCCUCCACCAGAAUACAGCUUAAAAUAUCAGGCUGUAUUGUGGCGGGGGCGAAACAGGAUCGACAAGGGCGUAAAGGCUGAUCUUUUGCUCGGCAUUGUACCACCGUUAUCGGGCUAUUGAGUAGUUGCAAAUGACAACAAAGCUCAGGGUUACGCUCUCGCUGCCUAAUGGCGGUGCGGGAAACCCAACCUAAGUCCUUAGGGUUAGCCCCUUAAGGCGGGGUUCGGAGGCACCUGGCAACAGAAGCCUCCACU